UGGGAUGUGAUCCAGUUGGCAGAGUACUUGCCUAGCAUACAUGAAGCCUGGGUUCAAUUCCCAGCACUGCAA
rnacentral:tRNA from 1 species